rnacentral:rRNA from 1 species
GACGAACCGUGCGAACGUUGUUCGGAAUCACUGGGCUUAAAGGGCGCGUAGGCGGGCUGUCAAGUCUGGGGUGAAAUGCUGCGGCUCAACCGUAGAACUGCCUUAGAUACUGACGGCCUCGAGGAAGGUAGGGGCAUGCGGAACUGUAGGUGGAGCGGUGAAAUGCGUUGAUAUCUACAGGAACUCCGGUGGCGAAAGCGGCGUGCUGGACCUUUUCUGACGCUCAUGCACGAAAGCGUGGGGAGCAAACAGG